rnacentral:ncRNA from 2 species
CGCGACGAUGCGGGAGAGAUCGCGACGAAGGUUCUAAGCCUUCGUUGCGGCGCCGACGGAGCAACCGCCCCGGAAACUCUCAGGCAAAAGGACCGUUUCGUCAGG